rfam:Bacillus cellulosilyticus DSM 2522, complete genome.
UCCAACUCAUCGUUAAAUGUUGGUAACGAUGCUCUGAAACUCCGACAUGCAUGAAUGGUUAACUACUUUUGUGUAUGAAGCUCGGUAAAGGCGUUGAAAAGUAGACCUGAGAAGUGGUUAGCGAAGUAAGCGGGAGGCUAUAAG